rnacentral:lncRNA from 1 species
CCGAGAAAUUUGACUGGAACUUUAGGAGGGAGCAGACUUUGUAUUAACAAGCCCAGAGCCACAGUCAUUGCUCUGGAGCCACAGGGCUCCAGCUUGUUAUAAAAGAAUCACAAGCAGCAUUUUCCAUGGCAAGUCAUUGGCCCCAACUGAGCCUUUAAAUAAAUCUCUGGGUUCCUGUCAGCAUGACCUUGGAAUUGUUGAACACCAUUCAACUUUGAAUCACUGUGACUUGUAAUCCAAGCACCCGGCAGCUGAGGAGUGUCGCGGAGCUUAUAUUAUGUCUGGAUAAUUCCUUGAUUGUUCAUGGUUCUGUGUUGUGGUACUUCCCAGAUGGCUGAGCAUCUUAAGAAGCAGGUGCCUUUCCCCUUUAUAACUGGCUCUAGAAGAACGCGCUUCUGAUCUGUUGUACAGAAGAAAUAAAAAGGAGGACCUCACUGUUUGCAGAUUAAAGGAGUUUAUCUUUUGUUAUUGGUUAUAAGAACAGUGUAGGUUCAGACUGGACAGGACAUGUGUUGACUUGUGAGAGAAUUG